rnacentral:ncRNA from 1 species
UCUUAUCCAGAGAGGUGGAGGGACUGGCCCUAUGAUACCUCAGCAACAGCCACAAUUUUUUUUGGACUGUGCUAAUUCCAGAAGCGGAAAGCUUGAAGAUAAG